rnacentral:tRNA from 3 species
GGUCCCGUAGCUCAGCCGGAUAGAGCAAGGCUUUCCUAAAGCAGAGGUCGGGGGUUCGAGUCCCUCCGGGAUCGCCA